UACAGAGGUCUCAAGCGUUUGUUCGGAUUCAUUGGGCGUAAAGGGUGCGUAGGCGGCGCGGUAAGUCGGGUGUGAAAUCUCGGAGCUUAACUCCGAAACUGCAUUCGAUACUGGCGUGCUUGAGGACUGGAGAGGAGACUGGAAUUCAUGGUGUAGCAGUGAAAUGCGUAGAGAUCAUGAGGAAGACCAGUGGCGAAGGCGGGUCUCUGGGCCGUAACUGACGCUGAGGAGCGAAAGCGUGGGGAGCGAACAGG
rnacentral:rRNA from 1 species